GAUGAACGCUAGCUACAGGCUUAACACAUGCAAGUCGAGGGGUAACGAGAGGGAAGCUUGCUUUCCUUGUCGACGACCGGCGCACGGGUGAGUAACGCGUAUCCAACCUGCCCCCAACUAAGGAAUAACCUUGCGAAAGUAAGACUAAUACCCUAUAAUUUCCUCAGAUGACAUCUGACGAGGAAUAAAGAUUUAUCGGUUGUGGAUGGGGAUGCGUCUGAUUAGCUUGUUGGCGGGGUAACGGCCCACCAAGGCAACGAUCAGUAGGGGUUCUGAGAGGAAGGUCCCCCACAUUGGAACUGAGACACGGUCCAAACUCCUACGGGAGGCAGCAGUGAGGAAUAUUGGUCAAUGGGCGGAAGCCUGAACCAGCCAAGUAGCGUGCAGGAUGACGGCCCUAUGGGUUGUAAACUGCUUUUAUACAGGAGUAAAGUUAGCCACGUGUGGUUAUUUGUAGGUACUGUAUGAACAAGGACCGGCUAAUUCCGUGCCAGCAGCCGCCGUAA
rnacentral:rRNA from 1 species